UGCUAAACUACAUUUUCGAGCCUUUUCGGCCCAAAAUCCGCUUCACCUGUAUUAGUUUACAACUUUGGCUUCAAGAUCCAAAUAAAUAAAUAAACAAACAAAUAAAUAAAUAAACAAAUAAAAUCUAGAAAUGGGAUGGAUAAAAUCGAGACUCCAAAGUCUCUGAAAAGCUUUGUCAAUGGGUUUUAACCCAUUUCUUCUCCUUCUUCCGUCUUCUCGUAUCCGGUAUGCCAUAAGAUUGAUGUGGAUUUUUCUUUGGAGUUGACUCGAUAGAGAUGGUGGGCCUUAAUGGACCGUGAAGAAAAUGCAAAGAGAGACUGAUUUCAUUUCAAACUCAGACACAUUCACACGCGAAGAAAGAAUAAAGAGAAAAAUUAACACAUAUUUCCAAACUAAGCAUCAAAGCAUAAAAGAAUCUAAAAUGAAUGAGGUCAACAAAAUCAAUUAUAAUCCAAACCUGAUUCUCAAAAUAAUGUGAAGAAAUGAAUAGAAAUAAAAGAAUAUAUAUGGUAGUCAGGUUUUGAAGGAAAUUACCAAGACUUCAAACACAAUUCAAGCAAUCUUUCUUAAUGACACAACACUAAACAACAUGAAUCGGCAUUACAGUUACGUUCAUCCAUUCUUUCUCAUUCAAUUGACAGACGAAUAGCCAACAAAACAAAAGGAAAACACACCCCCAAAAUUUCAAAGUUUCAUCCUCAUUCUCUCGUUACUGAGUCACGGAAACUACUAACCAGAGGUUUUGCGAGCGAAUUCCUUGGAUUGUUAUUUUCUCACCAACCUACUGGCCCUCUCGAUAUUAAUUAUCGACGGAAUCUUAUGACUAACAACCUUAAAACAUAACUCAAAAGAACUAGACAUGACUGCUCCUCUUAUAUAUAAAAAACAAGAAAGGGGUAUGUUUAGGGAAUGAGCGCAUACUCCAAGCAAAACAAUAAAAGGAGAUAAAUGAGGAGUAGAGAAAAUACAUAAGAAUGAGAAAAAAAAAUUAGCUUAACAUUCAUUUGGGGAAUGAACUUCCUUGUUUCCUUUUGACGUUAUUAGUCAAAGAAAACAAUGUGACGAGUCCCCUUUAUCUAGAAAACAGAAAGGACAAGCUAGGCUAAACAUGCGUAGUACUCAAAAAGUCUUUUGCAAAAUGUCAACCAGAAAUGAUAUAAAACUUAUGCUAUGCUAGGCUAAUGUUUCGAAUACAUGAAUGCCAACAGUAUAUGAAGAAUAUCAUAUCCAAAGAAAGCCAAACAACUGUGAAUGAAACAAAUCAAGAACAUACACUGUGCAAGAUUUCGUCAAGAUGCGAUUUUCAAUACAAGUUGCCAAACAAAACAUGGUAUAGAGCUUGGCCUAGUCAGUUUUCGAUCGACACAUUAUUUAUCUUUGUAGAUCAAGACGAAGGGAAAAGAUACGUUCAAAAGCUCAUAUUUCAGCAAAAUUCAUAAACACACAGAAAACAAACAUUUAACACAGAAUGAGGUUGAAAUUAUAGGAAUAUCACAACAAAAAUAUCAUCGCAAUCAACCUACGGCCUUCAAGGCCUCUACAGCGAACAAAUCUCAACAUAUAAUAGAAAACUAAAUUACUACUAUGAAAAUAAAAAUGAGGCAAAAUCACAAGAAAGAAAAUAAAACGAGCUUUGUUUGAAUCAACCGCCACCAAAAAACAUCUUUGUCAACUCAAAAUCUUCGUUUGGACGAUGAAUUUCACGAAAAUAACGAUUUUCUACUAAAAAAAUGACACUAUUUUUGCUCGAAAUUUUUUCCACUUCCAAGACUUAGAUUUCGUAGCUCUAGAAGAAGGCCUUUUAUAGAAAACUAUCGAAGUUCCCUUUUUGGGCUUCUAUCAAUGAGGGAGUUACAAUUUUUGGGUUAGUUUGGGGAUUUCAAAAGGGAAAAAUUUGAAAUUUAAAAAAGGGAUAAGGGGAUGAGUUGUAAUCGCACGAAAAUAGUACAACUUUUGAAAUGGAUUAUUGUUGAGCUGUGGUUUAUGCGCGGAUUUGUUGAUGGGUCGGGUUCCCAGGUUUUCAGGUCGAGAAAAAGGGGGGUCGAUUGAACUGAUGGCGGGUCAGUUUUUUUGUUGUUUGGAGUUGACGUAAUCGAUAUUUGCUGUAAAUGGUGGUGGGAGCUAUUGUCAAUGGUGUUACUGUUAAUCAGCUUUGUACGUUGUUCGUUGUUUGUCAGAUGUUGUUGCUGAUUAUGUUGAAGAGGAAUAAAUGGAUUGAGCCGGGUCAUUAGAGUUGGGUGUUGGACUAUUGGUAUAGAAUUGGGCUGAUUUUAAAAGGGGUCGAAAGGCUGGAGAUAACAUUUUGUGAAGUGAGCUUGGCUGAAGGGUUAUUGGGCCUGGAGUUGGCAGUUUUUUUUUUUUUUUUUUGGAUUUGGCCAAUUUAUUUAUGUUUUGGCCAAAUUGAAAAUCAUUGUCCAAUUGCAUCACAAUUGUGGCCAAUUUGAUUUCAAUUGUGGCCAAAUCUAAUAGCUCUGCUAAAUUGAAUUAAAAUUCGAAACAAAUUAAUACCUCAUUUAACCCCGAGCUUCUUGAUUCGAUAAAAAUAAAUCAAAUGCUUUUUCCAAAUUAAUUAUUUUUACAAACAAAUUAUAUUUAAAUUAAGAUUUUAACCAUUUGAAUUUAUUUUCAAGAUAAGCUUUGAUUAAAAUUUGAUAUUUCAUAAAAAUAAAUAUUUAAGUAAUAAAAUUAUAUAAUUUCGUAUAAUUGAAUACGAUAAUAUAUAAUCUUCACUUAAAAUGAAAAAAUUAUUCAGAUAAAUAUUUUGAAAUUUUUUUUUUUUGAAAAAAAUAAAUAUUGUAAUUUUAUUUGAAAAUCGAAGAAGCUAGGAAUUAAAUUUAGUUAUGGAGGGCAAAAAUUAGGUUUCAAUAACUACCCCCUCACUUUGGGUAGGACGGAUGUAAGUAACCCUAGGCAAAAGGAAUUUGACGUUUCUAAUUUUUGUUCGAUCACAAAUUCAUUUCUGAAAAAUAUUGGUUUACGCACGAGUUUUGGAGUUAUGGCCAGACCUCGGUAUCAGGUUUCCUACAUAUCUCAGGUUACAUGAGAAUUCAGGCCACUUGUAGUUCAUAAAGCUUGAUUCAAAGCAUGAUUUUUAAAAAAUUCACCAGCUAUCUCGAUUUUGGAGUUUUAAUAGAAUCGAAAAGCUGGAGAAUAAAUGGAUUGGGGGAGAGGUUGGAAUGCACCCGAUUUUUCUACAUAGAUCCUAACCUACAUAUCCCUGAGACUCAGGGAAUCAGACUGCUUGUAGUUCAACUCGAUCGGUAGAAACAAUAGUCUUUUAUUUUAGACGAUCUUUGACUCAGGAUGAGUGACAAGUUGUUCGAGUUAUGAAAAAGAGGCUUGUAACAUAUUAACCAUGAACAUGGAGAUCUUCACAUCCAUAGGUAAGAAUUUACUUGGACAUAGUUUUCAAAACUCUAAGUAUGUUGUCACCCGAAUUUGUAAGAAAAGAGAAGGUUACCCUUGAUAUGAGUUUAGAAAUAUCUCAAAGGUGAAGCUGAAACUAUAAUAUCAUGAAAUCCCCACAUGUCUUCUAACAGGAGUGUGGUUUAAUUGGUGGUGGCAAUGAUCCUUUAGCUUGCAUCCAAAGAGUUUGACGUCCCUCUCUAGACUAUGUCCAUUUUGCUGCUAAAAAAGAGUUCCACGUUGUGCUGCAUCCUAUCUGGAGUCAUCCACACUUGUGGUUGUGAUUUGAGAUUUUCAUCCCCUCGGAUGCUCUCGACAAUAACUCAAACAAUAGUUUUAGUAAUAAACACAAUUCAUGAAAGGUGUUCAUAGUUUCUUACCAUACCUCCGCGUGUGGUGCUAUUCAAAAAACAAAGUCAUCCUCUCAUGUACCUAUUUGGAAGGAAAUAAAUUAUAAUAAUAAACACAACAACCCUCUUGGUUAUUAAAUAAGAUAGAUUAUUUGUCGAUUGAAUAUGUCUUCAAAGUGGGAAAACCCUUUUGGACACCGAUGACACCUUAUGCAGAAUGGUCCCUGCAAUCGUCUAAUCUUAUGCUGAUGCGGCAACCCUUUUUGUCACCUAUAAUGCUUGUUGUAUGAUAACCUUUCCGUUAUUGCCAAUAAUUUUUUGCAUAUGAUCUCAGGUAAGUUUCGCGCAUCUUUUGUAUCGAUACGACAUAUAGAUUUUCCUUGAAUUAUCAAUCCUUGGAUAAUCUCGCGAAUUAUUUGAUGUUGGAUACGAGGCAACUUUCAAAUAUCCUUAGAAUUGCUAGCUUCUAGGUGAUCCUACACAUUAUUCAACCUUGGAUAAGAGAUGACUUACAGAUAUCCCUCCAAUCGCUAGUUCUCAGGUAUUCCUGCACAUCAUCCGACCUUGGAUACAAUAUGACUUAUAGAUAUCUCUCAAAUUAGUAGUCUUUGGGUAAUCCUGCACAUAAUCGAUCUUGGAUAUGACGCGACUUAUAGAGAACCCUUGGACUUAUCAAUUUGAUAAUCUCGCAUAUUCUCCGAUAAGGAUUUGGUUGCGACUUAUGGAUAACCUUCAGACUAUUAAUUUUUGGGUAACCUUGUACACUAUCCGGUUAUAAUGUUGUUGCAGCUUACGAAUGAACUAUGGGCUAUCAAUUCAUAGGUAAUCUUGACCACUCUCCUAUUUCAAAUAAUAUGACUUAUAGAUAACUCUCAAAUUAUCAAUUUCUAGGAAAUCUUAUAUAUCAUCCGUUACGUGUCCCCACAAAUUGCGUGCUCUUAAUGCAUUCAGAUGCUGAUUCAUAAAAUGAUGAGAUAUCCUCGACGCCAGCGUUUGCUAUCUCUUGUGUCAACAGAUAUUGAAUGCAAAUGAUAUCCUCGAUGCCAGCGUAUACUAUCUCACUUGUUAACAAAUAUUAAACGAUGAUGAUAUCAUUGAUGCCAACGUAUGCUAUCUCGCAUGUCGACAGAUAUUAAAUACUGAUGAUAUCCUCAAUGCCAACGUAUGCUACCUCACAUGUCAACAGAUAUUAAAUGCUGAUGAUAUCCUCAACGCCAAUAUAUGCUAUCUCGCGUGUCAACAGAUAUUAAACGUUGAUGAUAUCCUCGUCUCCAGCAUAUGCUAUCUCGCUUGUCAACAAAUAUCAAAUACAAUGGUCCUCUCAACAAUGGCAUAAAAUGGCUCUCUUAGCAAUGGAAUGACCCUCUUGGAAAUGAUAUAAAAUGACCCUCUCGGCAAUAACAUGGAAUGACCCUCUUGGCAAUGGCAUAAAAUGACCCUCUCGACAAUGGGAUGAUAUAAAAUGACCCUUUCAGUAAUGGAAUGGACCUCUUGGCAAUGAUAUGAAAUGACCCUCUUGACAAUGAUAUAAAAUAACCCUCUCGGCAGUGGCAUGAAAUGGCCCUCUCAGUAGUGAUAUGAAAUUGCCCUCUCGGCAAUGAUAUAAUAUAUAAUGGUCCUCUUUGCAAUGGAAUGAUAUGAAAUGGUUCUUUUGGUGUUUUGAAAACAAUUUCAAUUGAGUUAAUUUGUCUGCAUUUUGCUUUCUACAUGUAUUUGUACUUAAGGUAGACAGUUAGUAGAAAAAAUAUCGCUCUCACUGGCGACCACAGUCAAGAUAAUGACUAAUACUGAGCAUCAUAAUUUGAAUAACUUAUUCCACUAUUAGUCUUCUCUUUUUGAAGAAAUAAUAAAAUAGCAGGUCCAUCGGAUGCAAGUAAAUGGGGCAAAACCUUUGUUUAGGGAUUACUUAAAUACCGUUUGCUUCGCUCCAGUGCAAAUUUUGAGGAUGACUUUCUGCUCUCCCUCCUAUUGAUUGAUUCUUUUGAUUGUUGUAUUUAUUUUGUCGACCUCCUUGAAUGCACCUGCGCUCAAGGUAAAUAUUUAGUAGACACAAAGUCGCUUUUUCUAGCGAUGAUUUUUUAGAAAAAUUCUAAAUACAAUAUUCAUAAAGAAGAUAAGGCAUCUUUGUUUGUCCUUCAUGGUCUCAAGAAAUAAGAUAGACAAUUCAAAAGGUCCUCAAUAAAUGGGUACUAAACCAGUCUUUGGGGCUACUCAAAAAUACCAUUCUUGAGUAUUAUAUGCUUUGCCGUGGCUCACAAUUCGCUUGGGGGUUUUCUGAAAAAUAUUUUCAUCUUUGUGUAUUGAUCCCUACAUCCAUAGAAAAAUAGUUAGUUUUGAGUGAAACUACUCCGUGUUGACCUUCUUCGAUCCUUGGUUUGCUCCUCGCCAUCUUUCGAGCGCUCCGUCAUGUUGGGAAUUCCACUCUUACUCUCCGUUCCAAUAGAUGUUUAGGCAAUUACUAAGCAAGGAGAUUUGCAAAGAUAUUCGAAAGUAGGCUUAAUUUUUAAAACUAGUUUCAAAAUUUCUGUAAAAGAUUUAGGAAAUCUCUGCCAGUCAUGUCAUGUACUAGCUCAACGAACAUCUUUCGCUUGGUACUGACUGUUUCCAAUAUUUAAUUGAGGAAUUUCAGGGAUUCAUCAUAGUCGCUGAGUUUUUCUAUUAAAAAUUUUGUCAUAGCUGGAGAUUUAGUGUACCUAGACUUUAUCGCAACUAGUAAUUUCUAAAGAUUGACUUUGACCUCUGGUGCUGGGGAAUUUGAAAUAUAUUCCGAUGUUCAGUGGAAAUUUUGAGGCCUUCCUCAAAAUUUCUGACCCAGUUUAAAGUUGUUUGAGAUGAUCUCAGCUCGAGAGGAUCCAAAGUUUUUAUCGAUCUCCAUUCUCUUUGUUGGAUGAUGAUCUUCCUCUUAUGAAUUUUCGAGAUUUCCUUCUCAAAAAUUCUUCCCUAGUUUUUAUUUUCUAGGGUUAUAUGACCGAGCCAUUGGGGCACCUACGUAUCCCAUUGAAGCAGAAAUUAGGUCAAACGUAGUUCAGGACUACACUAGAGAUAUAUAGAAAAAUCUAAUGGGUUGACCAAAGCCAACAUAGGCCUCCUAUAUAUCCCUUUCUUGGGAAUUCAAUUCAAACGUAGUUCAUACAUAAAAGAAAAGGAUAAAUUACUGAGUCACGGAAACUACAAACCAAAGGUUUUUCGAGGGAAUUCCUUGGAUUGUUAUUUUCUCACCAACCUACUAACCCUCUCGAUAUUAAUUAUCGAUGGAAUCUUGUGACUAACACUCUUCAAUCAUAAAUCAAAAGAACUAGAUAUGACUGCACCUCAUAUAUAUAAGAAAAAUGAAAGAGGUAUAUUUAGGGAAUAAGCUUAUAUUCCAAACAAAACAGCAAAAGGAGAAAAUGAGGAAUAGAGAAAAUACAGAAGAAUGAGAAAAAAAAAUUAGCUUAACAUUCAUUUGGGGAAUGAACUCCCUCGUUUCCUUUUGACAUUAUUAGUCAAAGAAGACAUGGUGACGAGUCCCCUUUAUCUAGAAAACAGAAAGGACAAGCUAGGCUAAACAUGCGUGGUACUCAAAAAGUCUUGCGCAAAAUGUCAACCAGAAAUGAUAUAAAACUUAUGCUAUGCUAUGCUACUGUUUCGAAUACAUGAAUGUCAACAAUAUAUGAACAACAUCAUAUCCAGAGAAAGCCAAACAACUGUGAAUGAAACAAAUCAAGACCAUACACUCUGCAGGAUUUCAUCAAGAUGCUAUUUUCAAUUCAAGAUGCCAAAAAAAACAUGGUAUAGAGCUUGACCCAGUCAGUUUUCGAUCUACGCAUUAUUUAUCUUUGUAGAGCAAGACGAAGGGAAAAGAUACGUUCAAAAGCUCAUAUUUUAGCAAAUUACAUGAACACACAGAAAACAAACAAUUAACACAGAAUGAGGUUGAAAUUAAAAGAAUAUCAAAACAAAAACAUCAUUGCAAUCAACCUACGACCUUCAAGUCCUCUACAGCGAACUAAUCCCAGCAUACAAGAGAAAACUAAAUUACUACUACGAAAAUGAAAACGACGCAGAAUCACAAGAAAGAAAAUAAAGCAUCGAAAUGUUUACCUCUUUUGGGGCAGAAAAAUGGGAUCACGAGCUUUGUCGGAAUCAGCCACCAUCGAAAAACAUCUUCGUCAACUCGGAAUCAUCAUUUAGGCCACGAAUUUCACAAAAAUAAAGAUUUUCUACUAAAAAAAUGAGACUAUUUUUGCUCAGAAGGUUUUCCACCUCCAAGAUUUGGAUUUCAUAGCUCUAGAAGUUGGUGUUUUAUAGAAAACUAUCGAGGUUCCCUUUUUGUGCUUCCACCGAUGUGGUAGUAACAAUUUUGGGGUUAGUUUGGGGAUUUCAAGAGGGGAAAAUUUGAAAUUUGCAAAAAAGAUAAGAGAAUGAGCUGUAAUCGCACAAAAAUAGUACAAUUUUUGAAACAGAUUGGUGUUGAGCUGAUGUUUACGCACAGAUUUGUUGAUGGGUCAGGUUCCCAGGUUUUCGGUUCGAGAAAAAAGGGGGUCGGUUGGAAUGAUGAUGGUUUUUUUUUGAUGGGUCAGGUUCCCAGGUUUUUAGGUUUUUUGUUGUUUGGAGUUGUUGUCGUUGAUAUUUGCUGUAAACGGUGGUGGGAGCUAUUUUCAAUGGUGUUACUGCGAAUCAGCUUUGUACGUUGUUCAUUGUUUGUCGGCUGUUAUUGUUGAUUAUGUUGAAGAGGAAUAAAUGGAUUGGGCCGGGUCAUUAUUGUUGGGUGUUGGGCUAUUGGUGUAGAAUUGGGCUGUUUUAAAAGAGACAAAAGGCUGGUGAUAGCAUUUUGUGAAGUGGGCUUGGCUGAAUGGUUAUUGGGCCCGGAGUUGGGC
rnacentral:lncRNA from 1 species